UACGUAGGGGGCGAGCGUUGUCCGGAUUUAUUGGGCGUAAAGAGCUCGUAGGCGGCUGUUCGAGUCGGGUGUGAAAUCCUGAGGCUUAACCUUGGGUCUGCAUUCGAUACUGCUGUGACUUGAGUUCGGUAGGGGAGUGGGGAAUUCCUAGUGUAGCGGUGAAAUGCGCAGAUAUUAGGAGGAACACCGGUGGCGAAGGCGCCACUCUGGGCCGAAACUGACGCUGAGGAGCGAAAGCAUGGGUAGCAAACAGG
rnacentral:rRNA from 1 species